CGCAGUAGGAAGUCAUAAUGUGGGAAAGAUGGAAGAAAAAAACCCGAAUUAAACAGGUAAAUAGCUGGCUUACUUUUUGUCCACCCAAACCGAUUUGGAAUUUUGAAAAAGUCGAAAUUUUACAAAUAUUACGCGUACGUGAUCUAUACAUUAAAUAAGGGAAUGCUAUUGGAUAAGGUUUUGUGUGACGCAAUUCCGUGCGUCUCUCCUCUAAUAGAUCAUGGCUGUCGACCAAUGAAAGCGCUUGAAUUCUUAACGAAAUUACUGAUAGAAAUAAAUAGACAACAAGACGCCAAAAUUUUUUUCGCUCGCCUAAUAAUCGCUUAUUAGCCAAUCAAAACUAGGGAUAAAAUGUUCUUAAAAUUGUUUUGAAUAAAGGGGGGAAAUUCUCAAGCACAGGAGAGAACCAAUCAGCACAGGGAUCUGAUUACCCCCAACGAAAGUAAAUCCUACCUCGACCAACAGUGGCAGGCUUAACUCGACCGCAAUGAGCGGUUUGUUAUCCGCAUCGCGCUUCCUGAACUGCGCGCUUUUUAAAAAAAUUCUAUAUAUACAUUGUUUUUGUUUUUCUUUGACCGCAAAACCCGAUUCUCACGCCCCAGCUGAAUAUAUUUACAACUCUUGAUUAGGUCAGACUCUCGAUAAACAUUGGAGUUUGCGCCAGGAGGCCGGAUUGCGCAUAUUUCUAGCAGCUAACGAGGGAAUUAAUAAUCAGGGGCCAGAUGUUCAACGCUGGAUUAGGAUUCAACCUGUUUUGGUUUGGGUACAUCUGCACUUCUGUUUGUUUCAAAAAUGUGGAAAGUGAAACAUCAAUCUGUAGAUGCAGACAAUAAUUCUCGAAAACUAUCUUCAUUUCUAAGUUUGCUUUGAAAUUCUAUCUUUAUUUCUAAGUUUGCUUUGCUUCAUUUCUAAGUUUGUUUUUUCGUGUAAGGUAACCGACUUUCGAAUUAGUGGUAACAAUAAUAAACUGGUAAAACUAUGUUUGUGGGUAGAACUAUCAAGUGACAAUAAAGCUGGCUUAGUCUAGGUUUCUUACUGUAGCUACAUUAAACCAAUAAGAGAUUAUCCUUACUAGGGUUCAAGGGAGAACAGGUUACUAUCGGAAGUAUAUAAGGGUUACCUCCGGAAGUAACGCCCAACCAGUAAGGGAUGAUCCUUACUGGACCUCUGGAAAAUGAAGUUGGCUUAAUUAGAUUAUCUCCAGAUGUAAAACUAAACCAAUAAGGGAUGACCUUGUUAUGAAUGACCUCGUGCAAAAAACAGUUAAUAACUUAAUUAGCUGAUAGAGCAGUCCAGUAUAAAAAAAUCUAAUGUCCGCUAAUGAGCAUUUCUGAAGGACGCGUGUAUUUCACACUGGAUUAAUUUUUCGGAAUUAAGAAAUUCUAAGAUUUUUGGAAUUUUCGCACGCAACAGUGGAUUGCUUUCAAAUUAUUUAAAAUUUUCCUAAUAUAACACCUCGUAAAGAUUUUUCAAGAUUGUUGGAAUUCGUAGAAAGAUCUUACCCGAUUAUUCAUAUUUCUGGGAAAAUUUUGCGCGCGUGGUCUUGAGCCUUAGAUUUCUGGUAUUUUUGAAGGAGUGCAUUAGCCGAUCAUAUUACGUGUUAUAUUCCACUUAUAAUAUUAGAUAUGAAUAAAUAUGAAUGACAAAUUUAGUGAAAGAAAUGCACUAACAAGUCGAAAGAAAUGCUGUUUAAUUAAAUGAUUUGCUUCUUUCUGUAAAAGUAUAAGCGGCAACGUUUCUGAGGUUCACCGUAUUUUGUGCCGCCCCACUACGGAAGCUUGACCCGCCAUACAGCGGUACUCAAUAAUAUUGAUCAACCGCGACCUCAAGCAAUAACAUGUUGUUUUGUUGUGUCAUGCCACCCUGUCGGCCUACACCGCAAUAACAAUUUUUUUUUAUAUCAUUUGUCAGGUGACGCUCUCAAACGACGCAAAAUUUAAGGGACUUAUGUGUUUUUGGUAAGAAAAUCAAUUUUUUAUAAAGCCGGUGUUAUACUAACCUCCUGCGCAGACGUUGUUUAGCGGUCAGCGGCAGCGUAGCGAGAGUGUUAUAUUGUAGACGAGCGAGUUAUAUAGGACAAGUGCGCACCGGCGGUACCGCGAAUAUUCUUGGACUAGUUUUUAAUUAUCUGGUCGCCACAUCUAUUACAAAAAUAUAUCGCUGUCUAUGCAAUUGCGUCAAAUUUGCUUGUUCAUUGGCCUAUCCAGACAUUCAAAAUUUGGUACUUUGCCAAUUUGUUCUACCACAAAUACACUAGCCUAUCGAAGGGAAGAUGGCUGUGAAACUCAUUAGAAUAAUAAUAUAACUCAUUAUCUAUGUUGGUCAACGUUUAUUCAUAAAUCUGGUCCUUCACCGUCACGUGUGUAUUGUAUUCCUGCCCAACUAACCAAUAGCAAUGUUUUAGGAAAGUCACCUAUCCGUGACUCGAACAAUAGGGAAACUGGAAAUUGCUAUUGGUGGAUUUGGUAAAAAUAUAAUACACACGUGACGGUGAAAGACCAGAUUUAUGAAUAAACAUUGACUAACAUAGAUAAUGAGUUAUAUUGUUAUUCUAAUGAGUUUCACAGCCAUCUUCCCUUCGAUAGGCUAUGCACAAAUACACUAGCUUGUUCAAAAGCUACUCUUGGUAAAAAGCUUUUCAAAAGUUGAUUACUUCAGAAAUUCACCUUUUUGUUGUACUAUUUAAAACACGAGCAAGAGUGCUUUAUCAGAUAUAAACGACCCAUCUGAUGAGUUCAUUCGCGAAGUAAAUUUAAAAAUAAACGAGUGCUUUAUCAGAUAUAAACGACCCAUCUGAUGAGUUCAUUGGCGAAGUAAUUUUAAAAAUAAACGUUGUCUAAACCGAGAAAAUCAAAGCUGAAGUUUAUGUAAAUGAACAUGAUUUUUUAUCACAUGUAUAAAACCACAGACACGGCAGUUAUUUCCUCUGUCUUUUCCUCAUGAAUUAUUAAUGAGUUUUUAAAAUUAUUUUAAUGCCCGAGUGCCAUACUGGACAGUGAACACAUGCCCAUGGGUGCGUAAAUACAAUUGAAUCGAAUUUUAAAGGUUUUGGUUUCGUUGAACUUUAAUGGACGACUUGCGCUUUAGAAAAAUUUUUAAUCUGGGAAUAACAAAGGAUAUUUUCGGAAAGAAGUUAUCAAAAUUAGAAAAACUGCAAAACUUGGUUGCGAAAUGUUGUAAAAUACGGAAAAUAUAGCCCUACGAAGUUGGCGAAUUUGUAUACAUUUCUAUUACGUGCGGAAAUUGGUAACUAAUUUAGUUACCAAUUCACGCACGUAAUACAAAAGUAUACAAAUUUGCCAACUUUGAAGGGCUAUAUUUUCCGUAUAUUACAACAUUUCGCAACCAAACUUUGUAAUAUUACUAAUUCCAAGAUGCUCUUUCUAGCUGUGGUGAUAUAUUUCGUUCUUCUUACUUAGAUUAAAAUUUAGUCUAAAGCGCAAGUAGUCCAUUAUGUGCUGAUUAAUUUAACGCAGCGCGUAAGUAAAAACUCUGUGGUCAGUUGAACUAUUUUUAUUCGAACUGACGAUAUGACUAAUUUGUAAUUUGACAGCUCGGAGUAGAGAAAAAAUAUGGCCUGCCAGUCUAAAUUUUUUGGCAGGUGAAAUAAAUUUUAGCCUGCCAUUUUUAUUCAUGGUGUCUCAUACGAGUCAUAGUGCAAAAAUCAAUGUUUUCAUGAAAUGCAUUUUUAUUUUUAAACUUAUCUAUUUUACUAACAGCAAACUUGGAUUUACAUUUCAAAUAUAACCUUAUUUAGUCCACUAAAUGAUCUAGUAUAUAUGAGUUGUAGUAUAAAGCAUAUGAAAUGAAAUAUAUCCAUAGAAUUUCACCUGCCAUUUUUUUUACUUUGCAGUUGAAAUUCAGUUGUUUUUGCCUCCCAUUUCUAAAAUAUGGCCUGCUUUUGGCCAUUGGCAGCCCACUAUUUCGAGCCCUGAAUUUGACCAUUUUUGUGUAGUUAUUCUCCUUUGUGCUAUUGGAAGCUAUUUUAAAUUCCCAGGAGCAGAAAAUCUUGUGUUUAACAAGGAUAUUUUAAACAUAUACCCUGUCAAUAUUUUACCCAUCUGUGGGUAAAGUAUUGUUCUUUAUUGAAAGUUGAACUGUUUGGUUCAAAAUAACUCUACUAGGAGUUAAAUUAACUCCCUCAAAUUGACAGGGUUAAGUUCGUUCGUAGCGUCGAUUGGGGCAUCAAAAUAUUAAAUACAGGGAUCAUGAAGGGGGCGAAUGAGUUCUGGCAUUUGCCUUUUUUUUUCGACGGGGAAAAUAAGAUUUGGACCACCGGGAUUUAUUUGUCCGGGAAUGGAUUUCAAGCAAUUCUACGGCUGGGAAUGCGAUUUGCGAAAAGACGUCGUCUGGUCACCCCGAAUCAGAUAAAUUUUGAGCUGGGAGAAUAGAAUAGAAGCUCCCCCUUCGCGAUAUCCUCAAAAUUAGCAUUCUGCGUAAAAUUAGCAUUUCUCACGCUAGGUUUAUCCGCUCCACUUUUGGGGCACUGCCACUCCCAAGCCUGAGAGUGUGACUUUUUUAUACUUUUGUAUUCGAGCCAAAACAUACAUUGUCAUUAAUACUAAACUUUUAAAAGCGCUUAUCUUUCUUUUAACCAACCCUGAAAUUCCCUGAAGUAGCAAUAGUAAGUCAAUUAAUUCACAUAAAACACCCCAAACGAUUUGAACGUUUUACACUCUGUUGGUCACGAGUUGUGAAAAUGAUGUAGAUAAUGUAGCUGUUUGAACGCUACGGCGUACUAGAACGUUUAAGGAAUGCAAAUUAUAGUCCCCUUUGUCUUAGAGUAAAGAUGCUAUUGAUGAGCACUCUAAUGGUAAAUUUACGGUUACAACUUUGAAAAGUCACUUUUCGCAUGAGAGAAGAUUAUAAUACCCCCAAAAUGGCAGAUAUUUAUAGGCCGCAACAUGUAGCAUCAUGUUUCUCUAGUCAAUUUAAAAGUUCUCACUCUAUACUGAAUAUCAGAAAUGAAAUGACCAGAUGUACAAAAAAUUUGCAGGCUAUAUAUUUUGGCUAUCUUUUCUAAAACAGUAUACUUUUGGUAUACACUAUUUUAUUGUUAAGUUUAAAAACUCAUUAAUAAUUCAUGCUAGACAACGUUAAUUUUUAAAAUUACUUCGCCAAGUGAACUCAUAUUAAGAGGUGUCGUUUUUUAAGCCAUUUAAAACACUCGCUGUUCGUGUUUGAUCAGAUAUAAGACACUCGGCUGUCGCCUCGUAAGUUUCGAAAUAAAGUCUCUAAAUGUUUUGUAUUUAUAACUUUGACCUGCUUUAUUCAUGUCUGAAUUAUUUUUAGAGCGAAUGGUAUAAUAUCAAAGUUUAAUCGACUCAAAAGCGUGAUUAAAGUCUAUAUAUUGUAUUAAUCAAUCAUCAUUACUAUUUUAUGUAUAUAUAUAGCAACAAUAGAUACGUCUAGUGGGAAUUAUGCCUCAGGAUUGCCUGCUUUAACCGGUUAUCAAAGCAAAUGUACUGUUAAUGCCAAUAAUGGGCUGUUGACCCAUUGAACUCGUGAGAUUUUUGUGAAUUUUUAACAUAAGGAAAUUUCACACGACUUUUCUAUGAUUGCAUCAUGAAAAAAUUCAAAACGACCAAAUACGAUACUUUGGCAAACUAUCUUUAAUUCUUGAGAUAUUUGACAAUGUUCGAUAAAUAUCCUCAUUAUGACGUCACAUUGCAGAAUGACUUUCUUGACGGGAAAAAGUAGGGACAUUUCGAACUAUUUUCACAGCAAAGAUUUUGAACUGAAAAAAAAUCCAAUGUCCAAAGACCAGUAUUCGGCAGCACAGAAAACCGAGCUCAGCCUGACAAACAGUUUGCCGAUGGUGGUUUAAUACAUGCAGGGAAGCGAUAAAUAUAUUUUUCUUUUUAAAAAAAUUCUCUAAAACGGACACCUGCAUCAGUCUAAUACGGAUGCUUCGCAGUGAGUGUGUCCUCAUGAAAAAACAACAUUAAAUUUCAAACACUGCUUUUCGGUAAUGUAAAAAGAUGAUUUUAAAAAAUGAGGUAAUUUGGACUCUUACACCUUAGCGAGGGCCAACCUGUGUGAGCCUUGCACAAUCACAUGUUGUUUGGUAACAAAUUUAAAAAAAUAUUGAAAAUUUUUAAUAUGUUGAUCCAAUUUUCAAAGCUAGACUAUAAUACGUUGAUCGUCCUAAUUUCAAUUCCGAAAAUUUCACGUUUCUUGCGGGUUAAGUUUUAAAAUUUAAAUGUGCUAAUCUUCCUUAUGUCGACGCAUUUUAUUCCAGUAUGUGGUUGCAAUAACCACUUGGGAAAAAACGCGUUUUAUUUAUAUGGGAAAAAAAAAAUUCGAAUCCGUAAGCCAAGAUUUUAACCGCUUAAGUAUUUCAGUCCCCGUUAAAAAAAUCGAUGCAUGAUCGUAUAGACUUUAUAUCAUAGUAAUCAAGUCUUAAUUACAAUGAUUAUCAUCGCGUGCGGCGCGCGUGCGCAAAAUUAGAAUAUAUUCCGUGGGUGAAUUUGUGAUGUUCUACAGGUACCCCUCAAAAGUCGCAAUAGCUACGCAGAUUUAAACUUUAAUCAGUAAGAGAUGACUUUUGACACUAGUAUCAGUAUUAAAGUUGGUCUCGCAGAACCAAUUCUAUAAUUCUAUGGUUGUUUUAAGUCUGGUUUACCCAAUGGAUUAAUAAGUAUUAAUAAGUUUGAUGACCCUUGCUCUUAAUUAAACAGCCUUAUCAUUAGUCUAUACUAGAUCGAUUUUAAUACUGACAUUAAUUAGUAUCAAAAUUCAUCUCUCAGAUUAAAUUUUCGAUGCCUCGACUAAGAAAUAUAGCUGUGUAAAAUCCUGGGACAUAUUGCUAUUAGAGUUUUGGUGGACACCCUUAUAUGCAUAUAUCGCACGUGUAAAUGUAACAUUUUAAAUUUAAAUCUAAGUGUUGACCUAUUUAAGAAUAUCCAAGCCCCCAUACUUCGCUACACAUGCACUGGCGCACAUAAUUCACAAGUGGCCGGCAGGACAGUUUGAGUUUAGUUCGUUCAUGUCAAUUAAAUUUGACCCCGAAUUUGCCUUGUACAAGUGUAUCGCAUUUGAUUCCGCAUCAACACACAGGCCGGGUUUUCACGUUCCGAACUAAAUCAUGACUACUUCCCUUUUCCAAAUGCAAUUUUUUCGAAUAUUUGCAAAACGAAAUUUAACAUUUCGACACGACUUCGCUGAGUUGAUUUGCGCUAUGUAAAAAGUGUGAAUCCACUGACAUGAAACUGAUUGAACUAUUAAAUGAUUAAUAGUUUCCGCAUACACAAGUACACGAUCCUAUACACUUUAUAUACUUGUAAUGAUGAAUUGAUGACAGAAAAUAAAUAAUGGUCUUAUCAAUAGUCACACAAGAUCUUACCUUUGGGUUGCAUAGGCUGGUCAUCAUUAUUUGGUCUGGAUCUGUACUUUUGUCUUGAUCUAGUCUUGAAUUGCGCGAAGUGUCUUGAAAGUGUUCACAAGUGUUCUUCGGCUAAUUCAUAGAUGUCGUGACAAUUUAUAUCACUGAGGAGGGCGUGAAUAUAAUUAUAAUUCCCUUGCACGCCGAGUAGCCUGUAAUGACCUAAGGGCUAUGUUCACAUUAAAUUAGGCGCACCGUGUGAAGCUUGUCGUCUUUUACACCCCGCCCAGCUCAGAUCUCCACAUGCCCGUGAAUGACUGAAUACUGUGACUGUGGCUUGGAAUAUUUCUUUCUUAAUGCGUCCUAUUUCCUCCCAGACAAAAGCGACACUGAGCUGGUUAGGAAAUCAUGACAUAACAUCCCUUAUAUAUGACGGCAUUCUGUGUGAUGAUGCUUGAACUAAUAGCAUGAGUUUCCUAAGCCACAAAUCUGUAAGAAUAACAAUUCUUUAAAAGGGCAUGGUUUUUGGAACGUACUUCAUACCUCUGAUCUUAAGGCUAUAGUUUAUACUAUCAAAGUUUCUCUGAUCACAGUAGGAAUUAUGCAUGUAUGUAAAUUCUAAGUUUUUGAAGCAUUUGCAAGAAAUGUUUGAGGGAACUUACUCAGUGUUUAACAAAUCCUUCAAGACUUAGAAUGUAUCUAUGUAAAAUUUCUACUGUGAUUACACUAGAAACUUUGAUGGUGUUACCCAGCCUGUAUACAACACCACGAGAUUGCUAUGCGGUCCGUGAUUAUACCAACUCUGCUUAUAAUGCAUAAUCAUAAUGUGUGAUUUAAAAAAAAAAUACUACUUUGCUAACUAUUGGAAAGAGCAGAUUCAACAAGGUGGAAAUAUAACUUGCCUUCAUUAAUGAAAAAUUCAAAAUGAAUUUUGAUUUGGGAAAAGAUGUUUCUGAAAUUAGUCAUGUUUAAACAUCGUCAAGAUGUUACAUGGGAUGAAAGAAUAUAUAACAUUUUCAUUGCGAUUCAAAUUAGGUCGGACAGCACUAUUUAAUACAUUGCAAGAAUGCAAGGUUUACUGAAUACUUCACAGUGACGUUUUACCAAAUAAAUCACUCGCUUCGUUCUGUCAAUAAUCAAGACUUGUUUAUAUAUGUGCAUUUUUGAAUUGAAAGACAAAUCUAUAAAGGCAUUACUAGCUACAGUCAUUUUCAAAUGUGUUGUGACAGAUGCCCCAACUACCUAUUAUUUUGACAAAAUUCGACCCCUUCCACCCCCCAUCCCCCCCCCCCGUCCCUUUCAAUAUUGGGUCUCAGUUAGUAUCUUUCUUUGGUAUGUGAUCGGGUAAACAACAUUGAAUGUGGGAGGGGGAGGGAGUGAUAAAUGUUUGUAAUAAUUUGCAUAUAUCUGCACUGACGUUCUAUAACCACAGGUGUUCGAACAAACUUUUGAAAAUGAUUGUAUUAAGUACUGUUUUAACACAUUUUUAUCGAUUGAAAAACGUAACCGAUUCACAAUUCAGCCGAUAACAAUUAUUAGUAAUUUUGUUUGAAUGUAUGCAACACGAACGAGGAAUGCUGAAUUUAGCUUUAAACUGUUUGUUAUUCGUUUUAAAAACUUGAUAAAGUCGUUAGACAUGACUGGUAUUUUGUGAAAAAAAACCCAACUCACUGGACAUUGAUUCCUUGGAUAAUCUUCACCAAUUUUUAUUUGUUAUUUCAUUAAUAAUUCAUGAAGAAAACACAAAUGUAAUCAUGACCGUUGAGGAGCUUGUAUAGAAUCUGAUACAAAAUCCUGCUGAGUUUACAUAAAUUUUAAGUUCAUUUUUUUCACUAAAUUGUCCAAAUAUCAUUCACAUGUCUUCAAGAUUAUUGAGGAAUAACAAAAUUUUCAUCAACUCAGAUUCCCUGCACGCAAAUCGGAUACUGACAUAGCUGGUUUGUAAUAAUAUUUAAUCAAAGUUAAUACAAAUAUUAGUACAUAUAAAGUCAUGCAUGUACAAAAAUUCAACAUAUUUUGCUAUACCACUAUAAGGUGGACCAGAAUGCAUUGCAAUUGGCCUUUCUCACGAAGGCCAAAUUCGUCAUUUUUGGGGUACUAUUUUGAAAACGACGUGAAAAAUCUAAGCGAUGUGAAAACAUUUUUUUCAAAUAUUUAACUGUAAAUUAACUUAUAAUGAUUAUACUCACAAUUAUAGUUAUACAAAUCCCUUAUUCACUGCGUACAAUAUCAGAUUUGGAAAGGGCCCCAAAAAUGGCGGCAUGAGAAAGGCUAAAUCAAAAUUUGUUAAUACAUCAAUGAUGGUUUUUGAUGUGAAUUUGUACAUUUGUUAUUUGUCGUUGGGAGAGAACUUUUGGCAGACCGCUUUUUGUAAAAUUAUGUGACAUUGUGAAAGCAUUAAUAAUUCAUUAAUGAUAAUUGAAAAGAAAUCAAUUUUAAUUAGGUGUUACAUCCACAUAUACAAAAUUAUCCUGAUAUGCAUAAAUUAAUUCCCCCCCCAUUUUCUCGGUUAAAAUCAGUUCUUUUUUAAUAAUUUCUUAAAACACAGUUGUUGAAAUCCUUAAAACAAACAUAGUUAAAAAAACUUCAUGUACUUCUUCGAAAUUGCAUUUAUCACAUGACUGAAUUGUUCCUUUUAAUGAUGAUGUUCGCUUCCGGUGUUUUCUCAAAACUGCUGCCAAAGUCCUAAUUAAUUCAUUUAUAAACGCUAUUUUUACAUGUGAUUGUCAAGCGCUUACUUAAGUUAGUUCACACGAAAACGGACAAAAUUAAAACCGGCUUAAUCUUUCAGUCAUGCGCGCGCGGAAUUAUGCGCCAAGUCAAAUGAUGGAAGUUAAAAAAAAUGGGUAGGAAACGAACUAAGGUCACCAAAUUGCUGGCGUCAGCAGACCGACCGACUUAAAAUUUGUAGUGUCACGAAUAACUGGGCAUGUGGUAAAUCUUUGCUCCGAUUUUCAUAUUUUCCGCUGCAUUCAAGACGCUUAUAUUGAGAUUCAAAAUGGUUUCAUUGUCUUUUAAAGCUGCGUUUACGCGCUGCGAUUUGUCGUGUACGAUUCAUAUUAUGGCGUAUGAAAUUUAAUUACUGCUGACGCCACAAUUCCUCUUCAUUCUGAUUGUUGCAAAAUUUGAAUUGCAACCACUUUAUGCGAGAUAUACGAAGUAAGAUCGAAAGAUAUAUUUAAUAUCUUACACUGGGAACCAAUUGAAACCACUCUUAAGAAGAGAGAAAUGAUAAUGACAUUUAAGGCCUUACAAGGCCAACUGCCAAAAUGUAUGACCAACAUCUUUAAAAUUUGCCUAAAUGAUAUGUAUCCGUCAAAAAGUAAUAACUGUAAACUUUAUUUGGAAAAACUUAAAACAGACUUCUUGAAGAAAUCGUUUUCAUAUCGAGGUGCUGCAUCAUGGAACAAUCUUCCAAAUGAUGUUACCAACAACUUUAAAGAGCUUUCCAUAAGUAACUUCAAAACUUUAACAACUCUUUCACCAAUUUGGAGAGGAAUAGUGUGUGAUUCGAAGGAGUAAUUUUUGGGUCUGGGAGGGUUAACAUAACAUACUAUUUCUAGUUAUAUAUGUGAUUCAUUCUAAAUUAUAUAUAGUGGAAAGCAGUUUAAACUGAAGGGCUACCGUUUUUAAAUAAGAUGAAUAAUAAUAAUUCGAUUAUAUACGCUAGAAUAGGAAUCGUACACGACAAAUCGCAGCGUGUAAACGUAGCUUAAACCUUUCUGUACCAUGCACGACAGUAUUCCAGGUAAAUUAAUGUUGAUCGACUUGGUAGUCAGGAAAUUGACGUUGCAAAAGCUACCGAUUUCGGAUUAAAAGUUGUGACGCAUAUCUCCCCCCGCCUGCUCGAAACGUUCCCUAAAAUGGCUAACAACUAUUCAGGUAUAUUAUCGUAGAGUGCUUAUAUAUUUGUAAGUAUUUUUACUGGAAUGUUAAGCUGUAUUAUUGCUGAACUUGUAUGAUUAUUUUGGGUUUGGCAAUGUCAUCAUUUUCAACAAGGUUGAGACGCCAUCAGCACGCUGAGAACAUCAUACGUGAUCCAGUGUUCUUAUUAACCUUGAAAAAAAAACGCAUCAGUAAUUCAUGAGCCGAAAAGGCGGACAAAGGAAAUCAUUUUAAUUCACAUAAUCUUUAGCUUUGAUUUUCUCGGCUUAGAUAACGUUAUUUAUUAAAAUUACUUCGCCAAUGGACUCGCAAGAUGGGUUGUUUUUUAAGCCAUUUAAAACACUCGCUGUGCGUGCUUUAUCAGAUAUAGAACACUCUGCUGUCGUCUCGUGUUUUAUAUCUGAUAAUUAAGCAGUUCAGCUCGUGUUUUAAAUUGUACAUGGUAGCUAAAAUCGUUUCAUAGUGAAAUAAUAAUAAUAAUAAUAAAAUUUUAUUUCAAAAAGGGCGAGAUUAUUACCUAAGCGGUGCAUGUUCUUAAUAGAAAAAAAUCAUUUAUUUAAGGCCAUGUUACACGGUGCAAUUUUUCUUGCAACUUGCAAUGCAAUUCUACUCUUGAGAGAUGUUAAUGAGUGAAAUCAGUGAAGAAUUUUCGAUAUGUUGAGAAAACAUCAGCGGAGUGUAAUGAAGACUCGUAUUGGCAAUUUUACAUCUCUCAAGAGUACAAUUGCAUUGCAAGUUGCAAGAAAAAUUGCACCGUGUAACAUGGCCUUUAGUUUUGUUUUAAAUAAACCGAGUGAGAGAUCAUCAAUGAAGAAGUGAAGAGCAUUGCAGCUCUAGACUUAGCUAUAACUCUGUUUUGGUCACCGGAAGCCUAAGGCCGAUUUUCACUACACAAAUUUUGCCUAAAACUGUCGCAUGCAAGCUGCUAAUUUUUAGUUGCACUGCCUAAAUCAAGGAAGAGGUUAUUUCGCUGGCCUCAGAGUGCCAAAACGUAACAAAGCAACGGUUUUACUAACAAUAACCCUAUUCCAAACGCCAACUCUAACCAUAAUCCUUGCCCUAACUCUAACCUAACCCUACUCAAAGUUUGUUUCUAAACUUAUCUUGAAGAAAAAUGUUUUGACGAAAUGUCAUUCUGGGGUCAGCGAAAUAACUUCUCCCCUAAAUCAAGCACACGACUCACCUACUACAACGUGGGGGAGUUGUAUGCUUGAUUUACACAGUACAACUCAAGUUGUAAGCAGGUUGCAUGCGACAGUUUUAUUAGGUAAAAGUUAAAUACCAGCAGAAUUUUUCUUAUUUUUAUUAUAUUAUAAAAGGUAUCCAUUUCAAUUGACGAAAUAAUUCCAUAUAGAAGGGGCAUCUUUUUUUAUGAAAUCGAGCAACGGUGACAGGUCAAAACACCAAUCAUACUUGGGUAGAAUGAAUCUGUCUGCUAAUAACUUUGAAAUAAAGCCAAAAACUUGUGUAUUUUUAUCUAUUAUUGUUUGGAAUUUGCUACUUUUUAUAUCGUAAAAUAUUCGAAGCUCGUCCAAUUCAUAUGACAGUGAAGCGUUAAUGUUUUUACUAGGUUCCUAGGACCCUAUUUGGUCAAUAUUUUCUGCUCUAAAAUAUUGUUGUUGAUUCUGUUAGUACAUGUGGGCGAAAUUGGUAUAAAAUAUUUGAAGUGCUGAUAAUCCUAUUGGAGUGAUAAUUGCUAAAUUAGCCGUGAAUUAAUUGCGCGUCAGGUCACAUAAUAGCGCAAAGUGCUUCGCCCUUUAACCUUCAUUAUACUUUAGACUGCCCUAUCUUUAAUUUGAAAGCGAUAUUUAACUUCUUAUCUUGCACGCGAAUAAUGCUUUCUCGAAGAGUGCGCUUUGAAAAUCGAAUGCGCAUCUGCGUGAAUUGAAUGUAGUUGUUUGCGCACAAAAUAAUUUGUGUCCACAUGGCUGUACGAUUUCACAGCUAAACCGUACAAAUUUCUGUGUGGACAAAUUGAUUCCGAAUUGCAGAUUUCGAAACUUUAGAUUCUAUUUUCUCGGCUAAAACAAGCAUCGUCAAAAUUAUGGUAAUUAAUUAAACGUCAUUAUUGGUAAAACUCAUUAAUAAUUCAAUGUUUAAUGAUUUGAUAUUCUAUAUCCACAUAUUCAAAAUUCUCACCUGAUUUCCAUGUAAUCUUUUCCCUCGAUUUUUUCAGUGUUUUUUAAAAAAUUGCUUCAAAACACGACUGUUUAAGGUGGUUCGAUAGAAAAAAUCAUGUAUUUUCGAUAGCUUAUUUCACCAUGAAAGAACAUGGAAUGAAACUAUUUGAAUUCGGCAGAAUUAGCAUACUUAGUACAUUAACCAAAAAAGGUUUGGUGCAUAUUGGGUAAAUUGUAAAAACAAUUUCGGACUGGCCGUAGAAAUGAGAAAUUUGGAAAAUAAUCCCCAUGCAUAUAUAUUUUGUGUCAAUAACUAGGUUGACUCUAUAGACCCAUUGCACAUGACGUCACAGCGCCGGUGACGAUGCAUCUGGAGGACAGAUUAGCAACCUAUGCAUAAUAUAACUUUUGUAAACAAGGGAAAUUUUGUAAAAGUUUAUAAUAAUUUUGUAUUAAAAUAGUUAAUUUCUGCGCUGUAUGUGGCCGUUGUUGUACCCGAACAGAUAUUGUUAGGAAGCAUCUGGAGGACACUCUAAGGAUUUGUGACGUCAGUGCAAUGAGUCUAUAGCCGAUCAUAGCGCUCAAAAUGCUUCAGCUUUAUAUUGUCACUUACAGAAUUGUUACAUACAACCUUACAAGACUGAUAUGUCUUAUUGCAACUUGUUACCGGCAACCUUGCAUGUCGCAGCGUGACGAGAAAUGUUUCGAAUAGUUUAAUGCCAGACUUGUAACCAUUGCGAAUAUACAUCUUGUUAAAAUGGGUCGCGUGCAGGAAUCCUUUUCCGGAAUGCUGCGUAAACAAGUAAGACCGAAAAAUUAUCCAAAAAAAUAUGUCUGGCUUUCUAAACAAACCAGAUUUAUUAAUUAGCAGCAAACAUUUUUGUGAAUUGGAUUACGGCUAAAUAGUUUUAUUCUAGAUGACGUUAUCACUUAUGUCCCUAAACUGUUCUCCCUGGAGGUCCAGUAAGAGCAAUCCGUUAUUGGUUCGGUAUUCCUACAGGAGGAAACCUCAACUAAACUAACUUAUUUGUACCGGAUAGCGGCUGUCUCUUCUAAGGCUGUUUUCACUCUUUGUCCAAUUUCCAUGAGACCGAUUUAGGAUUGAACCCGGCUCUCCCAGCUUUGAAAGGCAAGCGUGGUGACCAUGUACCACAUGUGCUGGCCGGUGUCCACACUUGUACAAAACAUAUUUCACUGCAAAAAAAAAUUUGAAAACUUGAUUAAAAUAAUGCACUCACAACGACUCAAAACUAAUGAUCACUAGUACUUGUGAACGGUUUAUAAACUAUAGAGGUCCAAUAUAAGAGCUGUCCGUAAUUGGUGUGCUACUGUAAAAUCCACGUUCCCGUUACUAGUAGGAAAACUUGCUGAACUUCAAAAGUCGCUUUCUCUUUGGCGUAUCAUCUAAAGUCUUUAUCAGUUUAGCAUAAUUUUAUACAUAAAAGCUUUUUUUUUCAGUUUAUAUUGAGAUCAGUUGUUGGCUUCUCACUCAAUUCAACAAUAGUUGUUGAAUGAUCUUGUAGAUGGAAAUUAUCGAGUGGAAAUUUAAUUUAAUACAUUUAUGUUCGACGUAACCAUUAACAGCUGCGAAAAAUUCAACUAUAGGUCUCUGGCAGGAAUCGAAGCUGCGGCCCUGCCAUUCCGAUGCAGCGCCCUAACCAACUGAGCUACAGAGGCCAGUUGUCGAGCUCUAACCACAACUAAGUUCAUGUAUGUAUAGAUAGGUUACUGUCAUUAAUUUAGGUUAUGGGUAAAUAUCGAGAUUUUGUUCACAUCUCACUCGAUUCAAUAGUUGAAGGGUCUUGUAGAUGGAAAUUAUCGAAUAGAAAUUUAUACACAUAGGUUUUUAAGUCAAAAUUUUGCAAAUUUUUGGUCGGACAUUUUGUCCAGACAUUGUGAAAUAGCAAUCAGAUUUCUUGAAAGAAUGGGUUAAUUUCGGGUAGUUGCAUUCCUCCCAAUCCUAAGUUUUCUUAUUAUUUGGCCUACCUCAGAUUAAUUCAGAUUAAUUUGCUCAAUGCAUGGUCAGAUCCGAAAUAAUAUCAGGGGAAAAAAGUUUGAAAAUUUCAGAUCAAAUUUCAUAUUUUUUCCAGACAAAUUUUCAACGUUAUUUUAGGCUCUGUAGCAGUUUAUUGUAACAAAUUAGCAUGUCGCUGAUAAGUUUUGUCCAUACAGCGUUACGUAAUGCUAGAAAAUUCUCCCUUGAAGCCUUGAUGGCUUGACUUGGACAUUUCGCUGAAUUUGAACUUCGUGUGAGAGGUAACCAAUGCUCCUGUUUUUUUUUACGCCCAACUGAAAUAUAAUUAGGUUUCCGCCGCGAAUUGGCUGGGGAGCACUACGAUAGCUUUUAGUUUGUUUGUUUAAACGGAAAUUAUGCAAAGUAUUGGUUUUUCAUUAGCGCACUUGUUUGUUUAGUCGCAAUUAACAUGUUUAUAAAUAUUAUUUUAAAUAAAUAUUGACACAUGAAUGUGUUAGAUUCAAGUAUAUGUCUAUUAAUGGAAGUUGAAAGCAACCACAAACUGCUCUUUGAUUCUAGCCCCAUAGAUAGCGAUGGUAAACAACUUGGCCAUUUCAUCUCCGUGUUUUUCAGAUGCUUCGCGAUCUAUACUUUAAAAAACACUAAACCAAACGUGGCAAAUCCUUCUUAAUUAUAAUAAGCUUAACGUUAAUUGCUUAACUUUUGAAGCCAUUUGUAAAUAUGAUGAUAUUUUAUAAGAGACAAUUCUUUUCAACGUCGUGUAUUUGCGAUGAAAUUCAAAACCUAAAAUCGUUUCGGCGUUCCUCUCAAAAUUACCUUGUUUUAGCUUGAUUAUGUAGUUUACAAAUGGCUACCUUUUUAAAUGUAUCUGGCGGUUGAGAAACACAAAAUAAUACUUUAACAUAUUGUCUAUUUAAAUACAAUUAUCACUGAUGCUGUAGAGUUGACGCCACCUAUUUAUACAGCAAUAUAAGCAAAACUUGCCGGACUUCAGGCAUCAUUUUCUCUUUGGCGUACCGUCUAAAAUCUCUUCAUUUUAGCAUAAUUUUAAAGAUAAAACACUGCACAUACUUUUUAGAUAAGUUUGCCGCUUGUGAAACGUAUAAAAAAUUAACAAACAGUUUGAGUCAUAACCAAGUGGAAAAGUAUAUUUAUUAGUUUUGAGCGCGUGUUACGAUCAUAGAUAUAUCUUAUAUAGACCAGAUAGCGCAUCUCUUCUAGUAAAAUUGAAGCCAAGAAUAUUCCAGCGGUUACCCCCAUUUGAAUAGAUGGCGGCCAUAUUGGUCGUUCCCACUUGCUAAUAAACGCUUAAAAAACAACAAUAACUUUCAUCAUUUCAAUAGUUUAAAAAUGUAUUUGGAAUAGGUUUACCUUAAUAUUUAAGUUCCCUGUUUAAGAAAUAGAAAACAUAGGAGUCUUCCCAUUUCAUGGGAAUAUCCUGAGUCUGCAAUCACGGCUUUAAUUUUUGAAUUGUAGAAUAAUUAGAUGCACUAUCUAGUGUAUAUAAAAUAUCUAUGGUUACGAUUCUCCCCUUCAUCAACAAUGUGAAUAUACCAUACAUACUUCAAAAUAAAUUGUUCAAAUAUUUUAGUAAGGUGGUCUCUGAAUAGCAGGUCACUGUUUGCCCGAAAGGUAAGCAUAUGACUGCUAGCUUUUGCCAGUAAAACUGCGCUAUUUAAGACAUCGCUUUAAACUUUAAAUUAAGGCAUUACAUUUAUACACACGUCCUUUGUGGAAAUCAACUGUCGUUGACGGGGCUAGCGUGUUAAAAUAAAUAAUUAUACCUCUUUAUCUGCCUAUCUAUUUAAUAUGGAGCGCGCGAUUUAAAAUCGCGCAAAUUCAGGACUGAGCAAAAAUGUAUACUACUACACGAAUGUUAAUGAGUAAUGUCGAGAGAAUUGCUUCUUAAAUUAUGCGCUAUUAGAGGAAUCUUAAAAUGAAAUUGAUAUAUAAGCUAUUAAAGUACACGAGGUUUUAAUAGACCUUAAUUUACUGGCUUCAAGAAAAUUUACAGUACAAGGAAUACCUGUGGUUUUGGGUAGGGUCAAAUCGAAACUAUUCUUCUCUCGUGCGAUUUAGGUGAAAUAAGACACCUUAACUUAAGAUUGACAGACCGCGCAAAAGGCAAAUCAUAUUCAUUGAGCUCAACUGUCAGCUGUUCGACGUUUGGCCAAUUUGUGCAGUAAAAUUGAUACGUGAAUUAGCCACUUAGCUGUCGAAGACUUGUGGAAAAUUUCCGUUUGUGGUUAACGUGGUGUAAUAUAAUAGACAAGUCACAAGUGCAUAUUGACGAAUUAAAGUGAAUCAAACUGCAUUAUAGCCACGGUGCUACCCGUAUCCCUUUGAUUAGAUUUAAAUUAAUCGUUACAUGAGGUUUUAAUAGAGCAUAAUUACUUGACGCAUAUUAAGGAGAACCCGUACAGAGCGUAUAAUUGAGCGAGGUCACAGGUCGGUUAUUAGAAAAACAAGCCAAGGUCAUUCUCUUAUUUACUUACAUAUGUAGUUGACGAUUUUCUAAACUUGUUACAAACUACGGGAUUCGUUAUAUCACACUGCGCGUUUCUACAACGCGCAAAGAAAAUCAAUAAUAUUACAUGGUUUGUUAAUGGCUUUGUAAUUUAGCUUGUUAUUACAAGCUCUCGCUGCUUGCUCUUAGCUUGUCUGGCUCACUGUCUGCGCGGUGUUGAGGGGAUGCAGGUCACAGCGAUCAAUAAUUGCUUUUUUGUAUUCAACCAUGAGCUGAUCCAGACCAUAAAGACACCGUACGUUAUACCUCAUAUGUGGAACAUAAUUAAUAUAUCUCUGUGUGACAUCUUUCCCCGUUUUUUUUUUGACAGGUUGACGAUGUUGAGCUCAAUGUUCAGUGCUAAACCAUCCCAUACAGGUCAAGUUUUGAAAAAUUCUAGAAGUUUUAACGGUAAGAAACAACGCAUCUCACACGACGUUUGUGUCUGAAAUACACGGAAGACUACGUCAUUGAAAUGUGCACAAGUUAGCUCAGUAGCUGCAAUAGACCAGGGCUCGAAGUAGAGAAAAAAUAUAGCCUACCUGUCUUUUUGAUGAUUUUUUGGCAGGUGAAACAAAUUGUAGUCUGCCAUUUUUAUUCAUUGAACUGCCAAUUGGCGAUGCCUCAUAUGAGUCGUAUUGUAAAAAUCAAUGUUUUCAUGAUAUGCAUUUUUAUUCAUUUUAUAAACUUGUCUAUUUUACUACAGUAAACUUGGAUUUACAUUUGAAAUAUAAACGCAUUUAGUCAACUAAAUGAUCUAGCAUAUAUGAGUUGUGGUAAGCAAAUGAAAUGAAAUAUAUCUAUAGAAUUUCACCUGCCAUUUUUAUUUUGACUUGGAAGUUCAAAUUUGUUUUUGCCUGCGAUUUCUAAAAUAUGGCCUGCUUUAGGCAUUGGCAGCCCGUUAUUUCGAGCCCUGCAAUAGACUGUACUGUUUAGUGGUGAAUAUCAUGAUUGUGGACAUCCCACACAAGGGUUUUCACGUAGUUGGAAAUUUCGAAUUUAAAUUUUAUACAUUUGUUACAUCUUACCAGGAGCAGUCGCGAAAAAUGCAACUAUAGGCCCUCUCCCAGGAAACCAACCUGCGGCCCGCUGCGAUUCCCGUGCAGCGCUUUAACCAACUGAGCUACAGAGGCCAGUUGUCGUGCUCUAACCGCAAGUUCAUGUAUAUAAACCAAGUAAGAUCAUGCCUACAGACCUACAGACCUAUAGUUGCAUUUUCCAACUGCUUUUGGUUAGCUCUAUUAAAUGUAUAAGUUGUUGUUAAUUUUUUUAUUAGUUUUACAAUAAGAAAUUGAAGGCACGGACAACAGGACUAAUAAAGUCCUAAAUUAAGUCAUCAAAACAUGCAUUAACUUUUUGGGUGUAGUGAUUAUAGAAUUUAAGUUCCAGUGCUUGAAUAGAGGAGAGAGAGAAUUUUAUUUCUCCAGGCAGGCUGUUCCAUAGUGGCACUAUCCUAUUGAAAAAUAGGUUUCGGAAAGAAGAUUUGAUUUGGAAGUAACGGUUUGGUCUGUAUGCAUCAGUAGAGCUAAAGCGAGUGUGAUGAUUAGUAUAGGAUUGUCUAGUAUAUAGUCUUCAAGUGUUAAGUCAUAAUAACCAGCUUUACAUUUAUAAAAAAACGUAAUAUCUUUUAUUUCGAACCAGUAUGAAAUAAGCAGUAGAUUAAGUUGCUUUAAACGCUUGGUGUAAGAUGAGCUGAAUGAAUUGUUUAUUGUUGUCUAAUAAAUGUAUAAAAUUUACACUGGAAAUUUCAUCUCCAGAGUCGAUCCAGUCUGUUAUGAGAUCAGUUCGUGCUUGAAGCGGAUAACGAUCUAAUGAUUGACUGGAUAGACCAUUGGAUAGAAUGAAACUGAUCUCAUAACAAAAUGGAUAGACCCUUUUUUAAGACUCUUUACAUGACCUAUAUGACACGUAACCUAACAAUUAACUGUGCCAUCCAGUUACGAUUCAGAGACCAGAAUGUUCCAUUGUUUUUUCAUUGUUUCGAAAUCCUACUGUUCUCAAUGUCAUCCGGUCACUCAUAUUUAGGUUUAUGCAAUGAGCCUACUGAAAUAAGUUUCUUCUUAUUUUUUUUUUUUUUUUUUGGGGGGGGGGGUAGGUCAGACACAAGACAUGACAGCUUAUUGUAGAAUAGUAUCUAUUCUCCAUGGACCCCUAAGUUUGAGAUUUUUUUUUCAGAUAGUUCAGACACAAACCACAGCAGCUUAUUGUAGAAUACUACCUACACCGGACCACCACGUUUGAGAUAUCUUUUUCAGGUAGUUCACACACAAACCACGACAGCUUAUUGUAGAAUACUACCUACACUGAACCACUACGUUUGAGAUAUCUUUUUCAGGUAGUUCACACACAAACCACGACAGCUUAUUGUAGAAUACUACCUACACUGGACCACCACGUUUGAGAUAUCUUUUUCAGGUAGUUCAGACACAAACCGCGACAGCUUAUUGUAGAAUAGUACUUACACUGGACCACCACGUUCGAGAUAUCUUUUUCAAGUACUCCAGACACAAACCACGGCAAUUUAUCGUAGAUUACCUUAAUAGAUUAGAUUAUUUGAGAUAUCUCUUUGAGGUAGUUCAGACACAAACCACGACAGCUUAUUGUUCAGGUCAAGUUGCAUAAUACUUCCAUAUGGAAAAUUUUAUCCAACUUGACUGAGAUCGCUCCUAGCGUAAUGUGAGAUCUCAGCUAUCCGGGCUGGCUCGUUUUUCCCAUAUGAAAACAAAUUGAAUCCUAUAUGCGUUUAAAAAAGGGCAUGCAGAUUUUACUCAAGUGAGUUUUCCGGAUAGCUGGGCUCAUAUUGGGCAGGCCCUUUAAAAAUAUAUUAUAAAAUGGGGUAAAAUUCCGGGGUAUUUGAAAAAUUCCAUUUCUCGACUUAGGUGAUCCCAGUACAACGGAAAAUCCUCAUUAAAAACUCAGUACUAAAGGUCUAAGAAUGCUUAAACCCAGACUUGUACCCCCAGUAAGAUCUAUUCCGCUUCGACCAAUACUGUCAGUUGGAUUACUGCGCGCAAGGAGCGCAAUGGUGACGCUACUGACGCAAAACUGGGCGUAAAAUGCUAAUUAGCUCUCCGAGUGGGAAGUGCUUACCUUGAUAAGGUGCGGUCGGCUUAUAAUUAGCACGAUAGUAAGAUCUAGUUUGGGCCCGUACGUGACAAAUGUAAGACACUGAUCUGAAAUCAGUACUGGAUGGACAAUCCUCUUUACGAAGCAAUUUUGAAGCCCGAAUAUUUAUAAUGACAAGAAAUUUUGAAAUCUAUUCAAUUUUUUAAGUAAUGUAUCAAAUUCGACUGUGAGAACUUUAUCAGAUAUGCAAUCCGCCCAAUGACUUUAUUACUGCCGGGAAUUAUUACUGCCGGGAAAUACAUGACCGAAUGGACCAUUUGCAUUAUAGACUAAAUUUUGAUCUAGACAAAAAUUUCAUCACAGCUUGAAAGAGCAUCACAAAAUUAGUAAUAUUCCAAAGUUUCGUUGCAAAAUGUUGUAAAAUGCGGAUAAUAUAGCCAUGCGAAGUUUGCCGUUUUUCAGUUAUUUUGUAUUACGCACGGGAAAUUAUUGACAGCCCAAUCGGAUGUUGGGGCAUCCAUUUCCCGUUUGUAAUACAAAAUGACUGAAAAUUGCAAAUUUCGCAAGGCUAUAUUAUCCGCAUUUUACAACAUUUCGCAACGAAACUUUGGAAUAUUACUAAUUUUGUGAUGCUCUUUUAAGCUGUGAUGAAAGUUUUGUCUAGAUCAAAAUUUAGUCUAUAAUGCAAAUGGUCCAUUGUCGGAUUUCAGAAUAUUUCUCGAAAAAGAUUUCUCAAAGUGGUUUCCCAUUGACAUUGUAGGCAUAGUAAUCUUUAAUAUGCUGUCGUGGUUUAUGUCUGAGCCGCCUGAGAAAUAUAUAAAACAUAUGGAGGUCACACAACUACCUGCAGGGGAAGAUAUCUCGUACGUGGUGGUCCAGGUAGGUAGUAUUCUAGAAUAAGCUGUCGUGGCUUAUGUCGGAACUACCUGAAAAAGAUACCUCAAAGGUGGCGGUCCAGUGUAGGUAGUAUUCUACAAUAAGCUGCCUGAUUUGUGUCUGAACUACCUUAAAAAGAAAGUCAAACGUGAGGUUAAGUAUAUGUAUAGUAUUCUAUAAUUAGCUGCCGUAGUUUAUGUCUGACUGCCUGAGAAAGAUACCUCAAAUAUGGGGGUCAAGUGUAUAGGUAUGUUUAAUAUUCUAUACAAUAAGCUGUCGUAGUUUGUGUCUGAGCUGUGUAAAAUAGAUUUCUCAAACGCGGUGGUCCAAUGUAGGUAGUAUUCUUACAAUAAGCUGCCGUGGCUUAUGUCUGUAUUACCUGGCAAAGCUUUCUCAAAUGUAGCUAAAUGCAUGUGGGUCAACUGUACCCACUAGGUAGUAUUCUGUUCAAUAAGCGGGCGUGGUUUAUGUCUAAGCUUUGUAAAAAUAGUAUCUCAAACGUGGUGGUCCAGCUAGUGUAGUCAGUAUUCUAGAAUAGGAUGUCGAGGUUUAUGUCUGAACUACCUCAAAAAUGAUAUCUCAAACGUGGUGGUCUAGUGUAGUAAGCUGUCGUGGUUUGUGUCUGAGCUACGUGAUAAAGAUAUCUCAAAGUCCAGUGUAGAUUGUAUUCUACAAUAAGCUGUCGUGAUUUUAUAUGUCUGAACUACCCUUUAAGUACUAUUUAAAACACGCGUGUCCAGUGUAGAUAGUAUUCUACAAUAAGCUGUGGUGGUUUAUGUCAUGAACUACUUGAUAAAGAUAUCUCAAACAUGUGUGUCCAGUGUAUAGGAAGUAUUCUACAAUAAGAAUAAGCUGUCGUGGUUUGUGUCUGAACUACCUGAAAAAUAUAUCUCAAACGUGGUGGUCCAGUGUAGGUAGUACCCUACAAUAAGCUGCCGUGGUUUGUGUCUGAACUACCUGAAAAAUAUAUCUCAAACGUGGUGGUCCAGUGUAGGUAGUAUUCUACAAUAAGCUGUCGUGGUUUGUGUCUGAACUACCUGAAAAAUAUAUCUCAAACGUGGUGGUCCAGUGUAGGUAGUACCCUACAAUAUAAGCUGCCGUUUGUACGUAUACCUUGACGUAUACAGCUAAGGAUUUUCGUCAGGAAGGAAGUAGUAGCAAAGUAGGGACAAAAAAUCCUGUGUGAAAGGGUUAUGAUUUCAUCAGUCCAUGCAGCCAUCAUGAAUUAGGAUGUAGCCUGCGUCAGGAUUAAAGUUUGCUUUCGUAAUGGACAUGAUAUUAUAAUCUAACGAAGGGCAUUCGAAAAUGGGAAGACAAGUAUAUAUUCACCGUGACAGAGCAAAUUUGAGUUAUAAUUAGCACGGAAAAUAUAGCUUUUGGGCGAUCGUGGGCGUAGAAGCGCUCAGUCGUUCCGCAUUUCAAUCUAUUUUUCGUAGUGGACGUUUUUCCGGUACUGCGGUAGGCCUAACUGAACAUGUUUUGGAUUGAUUGCGCCGUAUAUCAAAAGUGAUCAAUGUAAAAUUCGUUCUUCAUAAAAUUUAUUCUAGAGUUUUAUUAUAGAAUUCUACCUACACUGGACCACCAAGUUUGCGAUAUAUCUUUUUCAGGUAUAGUUCAGACACAAACCACGACAAUUUAUUGUAGAAUACUACCUACACUGUACCGCUACGUUCGAGAUAUCUUCUUCAGGUAAUUCAGACACAAACCACGACAAUUUAUUGUAGAAUACUACCUACACUGGACCACCACGUCCGAGAUAUCUUCUUCAGGUAGUUGAGACACAAACCACGACAAUUUAUUGUAGAAUACUACCUACACUGGACCACCACGUCCGAGAUAUCUUCUUCAGGUAAUUCAAACACAAACCACGACAAUUUAUUGUAGAAUACUACCUACACUGGACCACCACGUUCGAGGUAGUUCAAACACGAUCAAAAGUCUUCAUAUUACUGUCUGACUACUCUGGUUGUUUUGUUGGGGGGGGGGGGGGGGGGGGNNNNNNNNNNNNNNNNNNNNGGGGGGGGGGGGGGGGGGGGGGGGGGGGGGGGGGGGCUUAGCCCUCCGAUUACCCAUACUAUUUCUUUGUUCCCUGAGCACUAUAAAGUGGAGCUAAUAACUUCGACAUGCAGAAACGAAAAUGCCACGAUACGUUGCGAUACAUACGGAACGAUACGGUUGAAGUGGAAAGCAUCCUUAAAAUUUUAAAAUAAACUUCGUUUGCCGUUUGGGCAACACAUUAUUUUGAUAAUUAUUAUAAUAUUAAUUUUUGACACUAUUUGGUUAUCUCGAACCCCCGCUAUCUCGAAUAUUUCGAAACAGUGUUCUAAGUUUAAGUAAAGAGUUUUGUUUACCGAAAUACAUUAUAAUAUGUUAUGUGACAGUCUUUAGUACGAAUUCUAAUAUAUCGGCAACAAUUAAAGCUUUUUGCCUCGCUAAAAGACAGCUUUCUAGAACACAUUUGCACAAAAAUAUGCCAAAAAUUUCAAAGUGCAUUAGUCAUUACGUGUUGUUUAUGCAGUAUUUGUUAUGAAUAACUUGACUUCACUAAACUGUCAUUUUUGUUAGCAGUGGGAAAUUAAUUAUACACAGACAAAGGGUAAAACAAACGGUAUUGAAAGUGCUUUUCUUUGGUGUGGUUUUGAAGUGUUUAAGCAAUUAUAGGCAUUUUAAGCACGAAAAUAUUACGAAAGCUUAUGUUGUUUAAGAACAAAUGUAACGUUUUGCUAAUUGCUACAAAUAUAGAAAAUAUACGACCGUAGGAAACUGUGAAAUAUCGUGUUGUCCACAAGCAAUUUGCUAGCUCAGUAAGAGAAUAAUGUUUACUCUUUUCAUUAAUCCAUUAUAUAUGUUGUAAUCUUGUAUUUGUUGGUAAAUAAGUUGAGUUAUAUUGAUUAGUUUCGACACUUCUACAGUUGUCUGCAAGUCGCUGUCCUACAAUACAAACUGAACUGCGCAUAGAGCGACUUUGUAAAGGUUUUGUUAACCGCUUUUAAACAAUGCACAACGAGUGUUGCCGCACAAUGCAAUACCGGUAUAUGGCAUUAAAUGGAUUUCACUGAAGAACUGAGGCUAACACAAAAGCCCAGCUGUUUCCUGUUGCGAUUAUAUACUCUAACCCAACCGGUACCAUUCAGAAAAAAAUUGAACAUGUAUUUCAAUUAGCUGUGCUUUUAUAAAAAUCUGCUUGAUUCUGUUUCUUUUGCUAGCUUCAAGAGAGGCGAAUGAUGGAAGAGCAUCGGCCAGAAUUAUAAGAAUUGUCUGGCUGUCUGUACGGUACGUAUUUAUUGAUUUAACUUUUUCUCUUUUGAUAACAAAAUACACAUGAAUUUCAGCACAUAUGACAGUAUUUCUUACUGCGAUACCGAUAUACAGUAUGUAAACAUUAAUUGUAAUCUGUAAUCUUGGGAAUGAACAACAUUACCUAAUCUAAUGUCAUGCUGAAAUGCAAUGUUCGUAACUCUUUAAGCGGCUAAACCAAGGAAUAUUUUCAUUGAGUGCUUGUAUAUAAUUAAUAAAUCGUUUAUGGUAUCCAAUUUACAAGACCUAUUGAUGUGGUCAGUCAGGUUGUCAGUUGCGGCCCUAUAGUCCAAAUUGUUGUUCACCAGGGGCCGGUUGUAUAAAACUCUUAAUCACUUUUUAAUCACUAUUUUGUAGUUAAAUAGUGAUUAACUCUCAAAUACGCGCUUCUUAUUGGAUGACGUUUCCACUAACUAUAGUUAACUUUAAUCACUUUUUUAUACAACUGGCCCCAGUCCAACUAGGUCUCAAUGUCGACGACCUGACGGAUCUGAACGGGGGUUCGCCUGUUCCCCUGUUAUCUCGAGUUCCGCCUGUUCCUCUAGAACAACCUACAGUUUUUGCAUGUAUCCUCAGCCAGCUUUGAGUACCCUGGGUAAUGUGCCCUAUACCAAUAUAGUUGUUCACCAGUCCAAUUAACUAGGUCUCAACUCGCUGAACGACAUGCACAGAGUCAAGCAUGCCCUCUGCAGUCUAGAGAUUCGCCUGUUUCUCUAGAUAAAACGUAGGUUAGCCGUGAUCCUCUACACAGUUCGGCCUGAACUGUUUUCGAGCACUUCUCUGCCCAAAAUAUAUGCCACAAACACAGUGUUUCAAGUUAUUGUUGUCUUGCUUAGUCGCCAGCUGUUCGUCUGUUUCUAACAUAUUCAACUUCAUUAAUGCUAUUUCAUUAUGUUAUUGCUACCUCGUGAUGGAAAUAUUUUUAAAAAUUUCUUCCAAAUACUUUAUGGCAUAUUAGCAACUUUUGAUCUACUAGCUAUUGAAAAAAUUGGCAAAGUAUAAAUUUUACUCGUCUGUAUGGGCACUUGGGUGCGGUUGUUCAGGGAUAUGGGAAUUCGUCGGCGAAAUCAUCAGAACAAGCGCAUUCCUCUCACAGAGAAUGUUGACAGGGUGGGUUCGGAUUAGCCCCUGCCUAACUGACCCCACCGUCACACCUGAACACCUUCCUUCCGAAUCUUAAGCAGCUGAGAGCUAAGCUGAAUGCGAAGGACGCAGCUCAACCUGAUCGAGUCGAAGGCUUUCUAAGGGCGAUCACUGGAGCACAGUUACGGUGGAAGGAUCAGUUUGGGGCUAAUCCUAACCCGCCCUGGGGGGGGGGGGGGGCUUACUGCCCCUGUAUUCCAGCACCAGUGUUCCUACGCCUGUUUCGAAAACGAAUUAUUCCACAUAUUUUAUUUUCAGCUAAGAGAAGUGUUGUUGUGAGCAUCUAGAACAAUGUUCUUCUCGAUUCUAUUUCUCAUGCUGUGUAAUGCCAGAACUGGCCUGACUUCUCAAGGUAGACUUCUCAACAUAUCUUUUCUCGUACUUAGUAUAGAUUACGGAAUAUGCAAGAGGAACAUCCUUUCCUUAAGGGUGUGUUUACAUGAGCCAUAUAUAUGAAGGGCGAGCCCGAACAGUGGAGUGCUGCUUUUCUCUUACAUGAUUUGACCAGAACUUCCUGGUUAUAAAUUAACCAGAUAACCUGGGGUUGUGUAUCCACCUAACAUCACCUGGUUAUACAUCUACUCGGGAUUCUGCAAAUUUCAGAGCCUCUAGGGAGAAUAAUUUAGAAUUGAUAGAGCUAUCCAGUAUUAUAUAGUUUAAUUUAUCAUUCUUGUUUGCUCCAGGUCCAACAAACGGAGAAAUAGAACAGGGAAUAUGGGAUAAAAUAUUUAAUGAAUUCCACGAUCCGUUUGUACGGCCCAUAAAGAGACGAGAAGAUAAACUUGUUGUGCGUGUGGGCAU
rnacentral:lncRNA from 1 species